rnacentral:misc_RNA from 1 species
AUUUUGAAUCUCUUGCUGUUUUCUAGAGAGAGAAAGCUUUGAGUUAACAGUAAUGGGGUUGUUAUCAUUCUUAGGGAGGCUUCUCUUUGUAUCAGUCUUCGUUCUCUCUGCUUAUCAAGAGUUCAACGACUUUGGGGUUGAUGGUGGUUCAGCAGCAAAAGCACUAAAACCUAAGUUCAAUGUUUUGUCUAAGCAUGUCGCAACACACACUGGAUUUGAAGUACCCCAUGUAGAGAUGAAACAUCUAAUUUUGGGGGCCUUGAUCAUGAAGAGUCUUGGGAGCCUUCUCUUUGUCUUUGGUAGCUCUCUUGGAGCUAUAAUCCUGGUUAUUCAUCAAGCCAUUGCUACUCCCAUCUUAUACGACUUCUACAACUACGAUGUUGACAAGAAAGAAUUUGCUCAACUUCUUGUCAAGUUUACUCAGAGCUUGGCACUCCUUGGUGCACUGUUCUUUUUUAUUGGCAUGAAGAACUCUACCAAGAGAUCCUCUCACCCAAAGAAGAAGGCUCCCAAGACAAAAACAGGUUAAGGGAUAUGAGACAUUGAGAGAUGUUUCAAUUUUGCUGUGAUCGAUUUGCAGCAUGCCAUACCCCUUUGAAGAGUUUCUUGUAAGCUUUGUAUUUUGCAAUUUUACUUUGGUUAAAUUUCCCAACUUUGUAGCUUCGUUUUUGUUUGAUUGAUUUUUCUGUUGCUGAUAAAUUAUCAUUUAGAAAAAAAAUUUGAUUUAGGUGUUAGUCCCCCCCAAAACAAUCUAAAGUUGACAAUUCCUA